rnacentral:rRNA from 1 species
CCUACGGGAGGCAGCAGUGAGGAAUAUUGGUCAAUGGACGCGAGUCUGAACCAGCCAAGUAGCGUGAAGGAUGACUGCCCUAUGGGUUGUAAACUUCUUUUAUAUGGGAAUAAAAUGUUCCACGUGUGGGAUUUUGUAUGUACCCUAUGAAUAAGGAUCGGCUAACUCCGUGCCAGCAGCCGCGGUAAUACGGAGGAUCCGAGCGUUAUCCGGAUUUAUUGGGUUUAAAGGGAGCGUAGGUGGAUAGUUAAGUCAGUUGUGAAAGUUUGCGGCUCAACCGUAAAAUUGCAGUUGAAACUGGCAGUCUUGAGUACAGUAGAGGUGGGCGGAAUUCGUGGUGUAGCGGUGAAAUGCUUAGAUAUCACGAAGAACUCCGAUUGCGAAGGCAGCUUACUGGACUGCAACUGACACUGAGGCACGAAAGUGUGGGUAUCAAACAGGAUUAGAUACCCGAGUAGUC